GCUCUAAUAGCUUAAACUACAAAGCAUUGUUCUUGUAAACCAAAGCCGGGUCAGAACCCUUAGAGCA
rnacentral:tRNA from 1 species